AUUGAACGCUGGCGGCAGGCCUAACACAUGCAAGUCGAACGGUAACAGGAAGAAGCUUGCUUCUUUGCUGACGAGUGGCGGACGGGUGAGUAAUGUCUGGGAAACUGCCUGAUGGAGGGGGAUAACUACUGGAAACGGUAGCUAAUACCGCAUAACGUCGCAAGACCAAAGAGGGGGACCUUCGGGCCUCUUGCCAUCGGAUGUGCCCAGAUGGGAUUAGCUAGUAGGUGGGGUAACGGCUCACCUAGGCGACGAUCCCUAGCUGGUCUGAGAGGAUGAACAGCCACACUGGAACUGAGACACGGUCCAGACUCCUACGGGAGGCAGCAGUGGGGAAUAUUGCCCAAUGGGCGCAAGCCUGAUGCAGCCAUGCCGCGUGUAUGAAGAAGGCCUUCGGGUUGUAAAGUACUUUCAGCGGGGAGGAAGGGAGUAAAGUUAAUACCUUUGCUCAUUGACGUUACCCGCAGAAGAAGCACCGGCUAACUCCGUG
rnacentral:rRNA from 1 species